GACGAACGCUGGCGGCGUGCCUAAUGCAUGCAAGUAGAACGCUGAAGGAGGAGCUUGCUCUUCUGGAUGAGUUGCGAACGGGUGAGUAACGCGUAGGUAACCUGCCUGGUAGCGGGGGAUAACUAUUGGAAACGAUAGCUAAUACCGCAUAACAGUAGAUGUUGCAUGACAUUUGCUUAAAAGGUGCAAUUGCACCACUACCAGAUGGACCUGCGUUGUAUUAGCUAGUUGGUGGGGUAACGGCUCACCAAGGCGACGAUACAUAGCCGACCUGAGAGGGUGAUCGGCCACACUGGGACUGAGACACGGCCCAGACUCCUACGGGAGGCAGCAGUAGGGAAUCUUCGGCAAUGGACGGAAGUCUGACCGAGCAACGCCGCGUGAGUGAAGAAGGUUUUCGGAUCGUAAAGCUCUGUUGUAAGAGAAGAACGAGUGUGAGAGUGGAAAGUUCACACUGUGACGGUAUCUGACCAGAAAGGGACGGCUAACUACGUG
rnacentral:rRNA from 1 species